GAAGGACAGGGAUUGCUAGGGCGAGCAGCAGCAUUUGCAGCCAGAGGACUAUAAUGACAGUAGCAGCAGGAUGCAGCCCUCUACUUUUGUGUCCCGGACGAAGCUAAGAAAACUGGUUACACACUUGCACUAAAUACUGCUGCUCACAAUGUAUAACGCAACUCAGCAGGCUCCUGAGGUCAUGGGCUAGACCACGCUGACACCACACAGGAUGCUCCAGCAGCAAAGGGGAGGUGGAGAGAUCUGGGAGGAAAAAAGGAAGGAAGGAAGGAAUGUAUUCUUCUCCAAAUCACUUUGAAUUAAAAAGAAAAAAACACUGAAACUAGAAAUUCCAGUUGAGCAGUGCUGAAGAACUUCCAACAAAAUGAAGAUCAUUUUGUUUCCUUCUGAAUUUGGCAUGAAAACUAACUGUCCCUUUUGAGCUGCUUUACUUAAAGUGUUCUGUUGUCCAGCCAAUAUGAAACAAAGCCUUCAUGGACUUCAGAUUGUGCAAAAGUGGCAUUUUGGCUCACUUACAAGAAGGCACAUCUCAUGAACAAGUGUAGUGGUCAACCAAAGAGACCUUAUCUGCAUUUUACAACAUCUGACCGGUGAGGUCCCAGAGCAACACAGAGAAAUAACAGCAAUAUAGCAAAAGGCAGUGAUGAAAGUAACUGAACACGCACAGAAAGAACAUCUCUCUGAUAGCUUUACCCCACAAACUACUCUAAAUCAGACCCAAGACAGAGCCCCACAGAUUUCACUCUCCACGUUAGGCAAAAAGGGGCAGAGCGGCACAGUAGUUACCUGGAUCUCACCCCCAAACUAACAUGUUUCAGGCACAUGUUUCAACUUUGUUAAAAAUUGUUGGUCCCAACUAUAAAUGGCUGCGUUUGUCAUCCAAGCUCCAGAGUCCAAGACAGCUAGCUACGUCCAGCCCCUGCUCCGUGUCAGCCACUGAGACAGGAGGAUUUAGCCACAGCUCCCACAGGGCCACGCUGGAUCAGGGCAUGCUCUGACCUUUGGAUGCGUCAAACGAAGAUGCAUGCUCAGCUGUACUGGCCAUGGUUUGGCUGCCGCAGGGAACACCACAACUUCCAAGUUUUAUUAAUGAGGAAAAAAAUAUGUACUGUCAACAUUUGCAACAUGAAGUUAACAUGAAAACAAAACUGACUCCAGAGGACAAAUGAAGUUUACUGGAUUAGUUUCUUGUUCCAGCUCCCCUGACAAAUAGCACUGAACUUACCACUGCAACCAUCAGUCGGUUCAAGGCAAAUACCGCUCAGGUUGCCUUGGCAAGUAUAUACACACCAGCACAAAAGCAGAAGCAUCCGUGUUUAUUCAGAGUGGUGGGGAUUCACGGCGCUUUCCCUUCCCUCUAUCUUCCCAGCCUAGACAGCACGUCUGCACCACUUCAUACCAGAACUACUUAAACGCGCUGUGCUCUGUAGUUAAAUGCCUUCCCCUCCUUCUCCUCUUGCAUUUUGCUAAUACAGACACCCGCAAGCUCCUGUUCUAGCAAAACAGAGCCACAUUACGUAAUUGCUGCAGAGACUGAGAAAGCCACGUGUUUCAGUGGAAACUGAGCCAGGUCAGGGUUUUCUCCCAAACGUUCAGCAGGGCUUCUCCUUUCCCUCUCCUGCUACCUCAAAUACGCAGCCUAGCGAAACAGCCACCCCGACGUGAGAGCGCUUCGGAGAAACGCUCUGCCAUUAACCGAGCCUCUCCCGUUGCAGGAGGAGGGCACGGGGGAUCACAGAAGAUAGGGGAGAUCCCAGUAACAGUCGGGACCACAGUGCUCGAUCGCUGCUACGGGUUCAUCUCCUUCACUGUUUCUGAUCCUCUCAGGAGACAUGGAAGAGAAAGGAUCUUACAACACUCUACCCUGUAUCUUCUGGAGAGCUGCAAGGCGAGUGAGAGUUUCAGCUCGUUCUGAUUUCAGCACUUCUCCCAGGGCUUCCUCCCCUUCCUCAAGUCCGUCUGCUGUCAGAGCUACGUUACGGUUAUCAGAGGAAAAGCCUGCCCUAGCAACUCAUUCAUUACCCAAUUACUCAGUUCAGUUUUCCUUCUUUUUGCUGUAUUACAGUCCCAAGAGUAAUCCGCUCACGUAGAGUCUUGCAAGAUAAAUCAAAAUUAAAUUAAAAGAAAUUAGCCCAAACUUAAAAAAAAAACCCACCUCUUUACACACUAAAAAACCCAAACAAACAAAACAAAAAACCCUCCCAAGAGAUAAGUGAUUUUCCUACCUGGUUAUCUCUGACCACGAUUAUUUUUAUACUGCUUUAGUACUCAAACAACGUUUCUCAUCUAAAGGCUCUCUAGCGUCCCCGCACCUAGGCUGCACCCACUGUAGCCCUGCAAUCUCACAGUCAUCACCAAAACCAAACAGAUCAGUCUGGAUAUAAAGAAACAGAAAUUUUAUGAAAACCUGAUCAAUAGCUUUAUAAAUAUCCUUCUUGCUCUGUCGGGGGCUAUAACCCCUCUGACAGGCAAUAACGCCAUGUUGGUCUACCAAAAUUGCCACUUCACAAACGAGCAGGAAAGUUGCCUCGGUGCUGCGUACGUGCUCCUGCUACCGCACUGACCACAUCCUUCCCAAACCAGACAGCAGCUCAAGUGUUCACAACCGACGGUUAAUCCUGCUAUCUUUUAACUUUAAACGUGCUCCUGUAUAAGAUUACGCGUCCAUACACAUAUACGUGCGCUAUUUCACCUAAGCCUGAACUUUUCGGUAUUUUUGAGAAAAUGUUUUCCUACCAGAGUUCAUAUUUUAGUCACUUGCUCUAUAGCACUUUCUUUUACACAAAUGAUGGGUUCUUGUUUAAGAACUACAGUAUAUUGGUGGGCAUAUUAAAGGACUAAGGAGUAUUGCAUUA